rnacentral:rRNA from 1 species
UGGGGGAUAUUGCACAAUGGGGGGAACCCUGAUGCAGCGACGCCGCGUGGGUGAAGGAGUGCUUCGGCAUGUAAAGCCCUAUCGGCAGGGAAGAAGCAAGACGGUACCUGACUAAGAAGCCCCGGCUAACUACGUGCCAGCAGCCGCGGUAAUACGUAGGGGGCGAGCGUUAUCCGGAUUCACUGGGUGUAAAGGGAGCGUAGACGGCCAUGCAAGCCAGGGGUGAAAGCCCGGGGCCCAACCCCGGGACUGCCCUUGGAACUGCAUGGCUGGAGUGCGGGAGGGGCAGGCGGAAUUCCUGGUGUAGCGGUGAAAUGCGUAGAUAUCAGGAGGAACACCGGCGGCGAAGGCGGCCUGCUGGACCGCGACUGACGUUGAGGCUCGAAAGCGUGGGGAGCGA